rnacentral:rRNA from 1 species
GUACGGAAGGCAGCAGUCGAGAAUCUUUCACAAUGGGGGCAACCCUGAUGGAGCGACGCCGCGUGGAGGAUAAGGUCUUCGGAUUGUAAACUCCUGUCAUGUGAGAACAAGGUUGUCGUGUUAAUAGCAUGGCAACUUGAUGGUACCACAAGAGGAAGAGACGGCUAACUCUGUGCCAGCAGCCGCGGUAAUACAGAGGUCUCAAGCGUUGUUCGGAAUCACUGGGCGUAAAGGGUGCGUAGGUGGCGUGGUAAGUCAGAUGUGAAAGCCCGGGGCUCAACCUCGGAAUUGCAUCCGAUACUGCCGUGCUAGAGUACUGAAGAGGUGACUAGAAUUCUCGGUGUAGCAGUGAAAUGCGUAGAUAUCGAGAGGAAUACCAACGGCGAAGGCAGGUCACUGGGCAGUUACUGACACUGAGGCACGAAGGCCAGGGGAGCAAACGGGAUUAGAUACCCGCGUAGUCCC